AGACAGCUGAUGUUCUUUGUGAAGGAAUUGGGAGUUUGUUCUGAAGUGAAAAUUCUGCUAAUUUUCAGAAAUACUUAAAUUAUGAUGAUCUUCUUGACAUCUGUUAACUGAACCAGCAAAGAUAAUUAUGUCACCAUAUGUAUCCACAGUUCUCACACCCUUUUAACAAAAUUUGGAAAUUGGACAAAGCCUAACAAAGGUAGCAAGGGAUAUUGAAACUCUGGAGCAGUUGUCAAGCUCUGAAGUUUUCAAGGAAUGACCAACUGAGUAGACCGAAUUUCUCUACCCUGGGCAAGAAACAACUGAAGAUAUGUUGGAUAAAAACCUUUAAAUAACAUACAAAGGAUAGAGGAGCGGGGUGUUGAUUAUUCACUCUCUUCCAUAUAAGCAUUAAGAGUAUCAAAUGAGGACAGUAAAGCCACAAAUUAAAGGAGAUGGUUCUUCAGGCAAUGGGUGGUAGAAUUACCUACUCAACAUCCUUCCAAAGGACCUGGUUUCUGAAAGAGGUUGUCAGGAUUUUAAGGAUAAAUGGAAUGAAAGGCUUGGAAGAAAGAACCAUGAAGACCUUUCUAAACAGACAGACAAACUAUGUCAGGAAAAGCCCUGCUCUGCAAGAGCAGUUACAUACAGAAAGGAAGAUUUUGUAAAUAUAAUAUCAAAGAAUUAGUUUUCAUGGAAGAUGAGAAGUUACUUAGAAGCAUACUAACUAUUGCUUGAAGUGGGAAGUUGGAGACCAGAAAAGAGCCUCCAAACCUCACAGCCACGUUCAAACUGUAUGGUGACAUCAGAUAAAGUGUUAUGAGAAAACUCAAACGUUGAAACUUUAGAUAAAGAGUAAGAUGGAAUCUUACCAGACCAAGACACAUGUUCUGUAGUAUUGAUUAAUGAGUCAAGUCCAAAGAAUAAAUGGCGAUAAGAAGGCAUUUGGCCACAUUCAAAUUCCCUGAUUGAUGUUUUUAUGAAGACCACUAUGAGGAAAGUUAUCUUCUUAAAUUAUCUCAUGAAAAGGACAUUUCAUGGGUUUGCCUUCCAUGCUGCUAUAAUAGCCACAGAAAUGGCACAACCACCCUUGUUUCUGUUAUGGCUUCAGAUGGAUUGUAUUUGCGCAACAUGAUCACAGUACCUGGAAAAGACUCACUAAAAUUCAUUAGGAGGUCCUUUCUUUGGGACAAAUGUAUAGAACAUGCAUCGCUAGAACUGAGCCUCGCAGAGACGAGGGGAAAGCGGCCGCCCUCUCCUUCCCUCCUCGCCGUGCCCACAGGCGUCUGCCUGGAGGCGAUCUCGCACAGCUACAAAUGGUAGCAGAAGAUGGCUAUUUCCAUCGAUUUGUGAAAGGGGGGAGAGAGAAAGGAACUCUGCCACCGCAAGAGCUCUGCAGACGGUAAGAGGAGUGGAUUCGCCGGGCGGAAAACAAACUUGAAGCUCCGGGACCCUCUUCCAUCCUCGCCGGCGUGCUCUCUAACCCGCCCGGGAGCAGCCAUGCUGCGGGGGCAGCUGGAAUGCAGGGGCCGGGAGCCAGGUAGACUUACCUGAGGACAAAGAGGACAGUUUGGCAGUGGCUCGAUGGACUGAGCUCAAAGAGUGGCCCGUCAGGGGGACGGCAUUUGAACGGGGACAAGAGGUUGAUAGUGGCCGAACCCAGGGUUUCAAGGGCGAACUCUGGUUAACGGGAACACCCAGACUUUUGGCAGAGCCAAACUGCAAAAGAAUACAUUCUCAGUUCAGCGCGAUGUUCCACCACCGAGGAGAGAGAUAGAGAUUUCCCCAUCCAAGCUCGCAGGGUAAGUUGGGUCAGAGCAGGGUGGGGACCCUGGCGGGCGGCUGAGCUACCUUUUUUUCUUUUCUGCGUUUUAACCACCAUCAGCGUCCAGACGGGGGCUGUAGGCUUGCAUGUCCCUAGCGGCCGGGAGGCUUUUUCUUUUCCGAGGAGAACGCAACCUUGCUUGGUCUUUUUGGGGUAACUCAUACUGGAAAGCUCCUUCUCUUUCUCAGAAAGCUGCCUUUUCUACCCUCUCCUCCCUAUUCUGGGCUAUGGGGGCAGGGGGGGUCAAAAGGACACCAAUGGGACAGAAUUUUAAACGGUGACACGUCAGCUAUGGGAAAAUUGUUAACAUUCUAAGAGAGGCCCUUCACAUCCACGCAUUUCAUUGGCUUCCAGCCACAUCAGGCCCCUCUCCUGUAGAUUUUCCCCUCGGCUUCUGCGAAGCUCCCCCUUCCCUUUUCCCCACAGACUUCCCCAAACCUUCUCCCUUGGGGAUGGCAGCAGCCGAGCUGCCCCAAGCGCCCUGCCAGACACUGCUAUCCUCCCUUAGAGGCAGCAUUGGCCAUGACUCCCCGGGCGAGAUGCAGUGCACCCGGCACCACCCCCCCCCAAGAUGGUGCUGGCCACACUACAGGGACCCCAUUUUCCCGCCUUGACCCUUCUCUUCUGCCCAUGUUUUCCCGCCAGUCCCACCCCUCCCCCAAUGGCCCUGCACCGUCCUGCAGCAAGCCAGCCCCUAUUGUGGGGGAGGUGAGAUUGGAUUAAUCCCUCAGUCCUUCUUCUGGCUCCCCCUCUGAUGGGAGGGAUCGCCAGAGGGGUCCCUCCAUUAGAGGACCUCCCUUUGUAAGAGAGCUUUCCCCUUUGCUGUGGGGGGGGGCCACCUUCGAAGGGAGUGGAGCUGGAAACCUGGACCAGAGCUCCACUGCUUUCAUUCCCCUGAAACAGUGGCGCCCAGGUUCACCCCUUUAUCCCAUCUCCUAAAUGUACCUUCCCCAAAGUUCCCUUAUUAUUUCAAUACAAGUUUUCCCCCAUUACUUGUGAUAAUCUGGAAAUAAAUUAUUGGAUUGAGUUAUAUCUUAUAGAAGGAAAGAUCAUCCUCUCUAAUUACUGCCCACAAUGCUAUGCCAACUUCGCCAUCAAAUUGGAGAAACCACAUCGCUGUUCGCUGCCUGCUUCUGCUCUGCUAAAAUUCGAAAAACCACAAGCAUCGUGUCAUGAAUCCUGCUUUCAUCCUCGAUACAGAAUGUGUUUAUGAUAAUUCUGUACCCUUUAUCUUAAAUUGUAACGUGGAAAAUAUUUUUGCCCCAUUAAUUGUAACUAUGUCUGGUGUAUCACUUUCUGAUGUCUCGAAUUUGUUAGGUUGCUAAUUUGUUUUUACCUCAGAACACCCUUUCCUUUAUGUUAUUUCAAAAGAGUGAGCUGUAGGAUUUGUAAUUUUCUCUUCUUCCCCCCCCUCACUCCCCCUUCCCCCCACAGUCCCUUGUCCUGACCCUGCGUUCCCUUAUCACUCCCUCUCACCAUGCGGUCCGGUCCUGGUCCCCCGCCCCCCUGCCUUUCCCCUCACCACGCGGGCUGUCCCUGCCUCCCCCGCAGCUUUCCCGUCGCGGUCCCCGGGGUUUCCCUGCCCCUGUCCUCUGCCUCCCGUCCCAUUGGCUGCAGCUCAGGUUCCCCCCCGCCCCCGGCACAGGCUAUAACCGAGCCCCGCUCGGUCCCCUGGGGUCUCGGGGAACACGCUCCCACAAUAAACACGUGUUUGCACCUGAGCCCCGUGUUGCCAUUUCGUCUGUUCCCACGCAAACUGAGCCUCGCAGAGACGAGGGGAAAGCAGCCACCCUCUCCUUCCCUCCUCGCCAUGCCCACAGGCGUCUGCCUGGAGCCGAUCUCGCACGGCAACAACUGCCAUAACUUUUUGGCAUACCAAAUACCAGCUUUGAAGACAAGAGAAAGGUGGCACCUCUAGAACUCCUGAAAAGAAAUCACACUUAUAAGAUCUAGACCAAACUGGGAGAAGAAUGGGAGCUCUUACAAGAACUCUUUCCCACCUUGCAGGAACUUCCAGAACACCAGCUUGUGUCACUGAAUGACAUUAUCAAUUCUGCAAGCAAGGAUGAGGAGCUUGGCUCUGAGCAGCUUCCACUUUGCAAAAGCUGCUGCAGAAUCAAGCAUGUACCGCACACAUGGUAUGCAAGUCAUCGAGAAAGGAUGCUCUGUCUAACAACCUGUGGCUGGGUGAUGUUGCCAAAAAGACUAUGAAUCGUCAGCAGACUGGGAUUGCUGGCACCUACAGUCAUUGCAAAGCUGAAACUCCUGUGGAGGCAAUGAAUGUACAUGUGUUGGGGAAGGUCUCCUGCAUGGACUGUGAAAGUUACAAAAGAGUGCUCACGAAAAAGUUAAGGUUAACUGUUACUACAAUGUGCAAGGUCAUUUCAAUCUGUUUUGAGGAGCAAAUGAAAGAGAUUUAUUAUGUAAUUUAAAAUUAUCACAAUAGGCUGGGAUUUACCUCCCUGAACCUUAACUUUAGAACUUUAGAUAGAAUAAGACAUUAACCCUCCAGAUGGUGAUUCAUCUCAUCUCUGUUGAAAAGGAAUGAAUCAACCUCUGUUUUUAGUGCUUUCUCUGCUGAUUACAAGAAGAGCUGAGAGGAUUAGCUUAUACUUACCACUCUUCUGAACACAGGUUAAUCCACCCAUUCUGUGUUCCAGAUGUCACAUAGUUCAUCCAACAUGUUUUCAUUAUGGAAAAUACCACUAAUGUUAUCUACAUAGUGCUGUACAGAACCCUUUAGGACAAUAAAUGUAUGCCUUAAGCAGCAAAUAAUGAGACUAUAAAAACAGGGAACCAAA
rnacentral:lncRNA from 1 species